rnacentral:rRNA from 1 species
UACGAAGGGGGCUAGCGUUGCUCGGAAUCACUGGGCGUAAAGGGUGCGUAGGCGGGUCUUUAAGUCAGGGGUGAAAUCCUGGAGCUCAACUCCAGAACUGCCCUUGAUACUGAGGAUCUUGAGUUCGGGAGAGGUGAGUGGAACUGCGAGUGUAGAGGUGAAAUUCGUAGAUAUUGGGAAGAACACCGGUGGCGAAGGCGGCUCACUGGCUCGUAACUGACGCUCAUGCACGACAGCGUGGGGAGCAAACAGG